rnacentral:rRNA from 1 species
GAUGAACGCUGGCGGCGUGCCUAAUACAUGCAAGUCGAGCGAAUGGAUUAAGAGCUUGCUCUUAUGAAGUUAGCGGCGGACGGGUGAGUAACACGUGGGUAACCUGCCCAUAGGACUGGGAUAACUCCGGGAAACCGGGGCUAAUACCGGAUAACAUUUUGAACCGCAUGGUUCGAAAUUGAAAGGCGGCUUCGGCUGUCACUUAUGGAUGGACCCGCGUCGCAUUAGCUAGUUGGUGAGGUAACGGCUCACCAAGUCAACGAUGCGUAGCCGACCUGAGAGGGUGAUCGGCCACACUGGGACUGAGACACGGCCCAGACUCCUACGGGAGGCAGCAGUAGGGAAUCUUCCGCAAUGGACGAAAGUCUGACGGAGCAACGCCGCGUGAGUGAUGAAGGCUUUCGGGUCGUAAAACUCUGUUGUUAGGGAAGAACAAGUGCUAGUUGAAUAAGCUGGCACCUUGACGGUACUUAACCAGAAAGCCACGGCUAACUACGUGCCAGCAGCCGCUGUAA